rnacentral:rRNA from 1 species
GACGAACGCUGGCGGCGCGCUUAACACAUGCAAGUCGAGCGAGAACCAGUCCUUCGGGACUGGGGACAGCGGCGAACGGGUGAGUAACACGUGAGUAAUCCACCCUCGGCACCGGAAUAGCCCGGGGAAACCCGGAUUAAUGCCGGAUAGCCCAUUAGUCCUUCGGGAAUUAAUGGAAAAGGUAGCUUAGGCCUCUGGCCGAGGACGAGCUCGCGGCGGAUUAGCUUGUUGGUGGGGUAAUGGCCCACCAAGGCGACGAUCCGUAGCUGGUCUGAGAGGACGAUCAGCCACACUGGGACUGAGACACGGCCCAGACUCCUACGGGAGGCAGCAGUGGGGAAUCUUGCGCAAUGGGCGAAAGCCUGACGCAGCGACGCCGCGUGAGGGAAGAAGGCCUUCGGGUUGUAAACCUCUUUCAGGAAGGACGAAGCCACUCGGGUGAAUAGCCCAGAGGGUGACGGUACUUCCAGAAGAAGCCCCGGCUAACUACGUGCCAGCCGCCGCCGUAACAC